AACCAAGCUGCUGCUGCUGCCGCUCUGAAAGCCAUGGAUGAGGGGCAGAGAUGUCAAGUGCAAUGGCAAAGAGAAGCUGAAAGAGGGAGAACCACCAAAAGCUCAGGGUAACUCCUGGUGUCUAAGAUAAGAGCUCCACCUGCUUGUUUUCCUUCCUCAGUAGCAGAGAAAGUGCUGACAGCCUCACCACCCGAGAACACGUCCAGCUAAUAAACCCCCCGGAGGACAGAAGUACGACUUUGCCUCUACUACACACACACGAGUGAGCCAUCUUGGAAGUGGGUCCUCCAGUCCUAGCCAGGCUCUCAGAAUGGGGUAGAGCCAGCUGCAAAUUUAUGAGUCCUUGAACCAGAAUCAGCCAAGAAGCCACUCCUGGAUUCCUAACCCUCAGAAACUGUGUGAGAUAAUAAAAUGCUUGUUGCUCUACA